CGUGUAGGCGGCUUGACAAGUCAGAUGUGAAAUCCCUGGGCUUAACCCAGGAAGUGCAUUUGAAACUGUCUGGCUCGAGUAAGGGAGAGGAAAGUGGAAUUCCUGGUGUAGAGGUGAAAUUCGUAGAUAUCAGGAGGAACACCGGUGGCGAAGGCGACUUUCUGGCCCUAUACUGACGCUGAGACGCGAAAGCGUGGGUAGCAAACA
rnacentral:rRNA from 1 species